UGGAGACAUGGGAAACAGAUGAAUAUCUGAGACUGAGAGUCACUUGCAUAAGAAAAACAAGUGUUAUAAAAGAUGGAAAGAUAGACCUCAAAUUAACAAGAGAUAUGCCUCCACCGCCAGGGCCUCCCGGCGGUAUAUGCAGCUGCAUAUGUAACCUUCUAUCUUCUUGUUUGUAUUGCCUGUGUUGCUGCUGUCUCCUGGAGUGCUGUUGUGGGCCAAUGUUUGGUGGACCUCCUGGGCCACCUGGGCCUGGCUUCUGAUCAACAUAGAUGCUUGAGUUCGACGAGGAAAUAAAAGAACGUCAAUCAGUCUGUGUGAGAUGGUUGUUUACUGGCAACCGCUUUAUGCUUCUACCAUAUUUAUUUCAAGGACACUUCGUGCUACUUCUUAUGUAUGAGUUCUAUUCUUUUGUUUCCCAGAGCAUUCCUAUGUGUUUUCAAUCAAUCGUACUAAGGCUGAAUGUAAAAGCUAUAGCUGAUAACUGCCUCGUGAGUUGCUGUGUCAAAUAAAUGUGAAAGGUCGUGAUACUCUUACAAUAAUAUUACUUAUGUCCUCUAUCUCACUUCA